rnacentral:rRNA from 1 species
GACGUAGGGGCGAGCGUUGUCCGGAAUUACUGGGCGUAAAGAGCACGUAGGCGGGAACCUAAGUCAGGUGUGAAAGACCGUGGCUCAACCACGGGGUGGCAUUUGAAACUGGGUUUCUUGAGGGCAGGAGAGGAAAGCAGAAUUCCUGGUGUAGCGGUGAAAUGCGUAGAAAUCAGGAGGAAUACCAGUGGCGAAGGCGGCUUUCUGGACUGACCCUGACGCUGAGGUGCGAAAGCGUGGGUAGCAAACAGGAUUAGAUACCCGGGUAGUCCCUGAGCGGGCU